rnacentral:siRNA from 1 species
UCAUGGGUCAACUCAACUCA